rnacentral:rRNA from 1 species
AACAGCUCAAAUUUGAAAUCUGGCUCUUUCAGGGUCCGAGUUGUAAUUUGUAGAGGAUGCUUCGGGUACGGCUCCGGUCUAAGUUCCUUGGAACAGGACGUCGCAGAGGGUGAGAAUCCCGUACGUGACCGGCCUCCACGCCCGUGUGAAGCUCCUUCGACGAGUCGAGUUGUUUGGGAAUGCAGCUCAAAAUGGGUGGUAAAUUUCAUCUAAAGCUAAAUAUUGGCCAGAGACCGAUAGCGCACAAGUAGAGUGAUCGAAAGAUGAAAAGCACUUUGGAAAGAGAGUCAAACAGUACGUGAAAUUGUUGAAAGGGAAGCGCUUGCAACCAGACUUGCCCGCGGGUGAUCAGCCGGUAUUUUUACCGGUGCACUCGCCCGUGGUCAGGCCAGCAUCGGUUUGGGCGGCUGGAUAAAGUCCCCCGGAAUGUAGCUCCCUUCGGGGAGUGUUAUAGCCGGGGGUGCAAUGCUGCCCGCCUGGACCGAGGACCGCGCUUCGGCUUGGAUGCUGGCGUAAUGGUUGUAAGCGACCCGUCUUGAAACACGGACCAAGGAGUCUAACAUCUAUGCGAGUGUUUGGGUGUCAAACCCAUGCGCGUAAUGAAAGUGAACGGAGGUGGGAACCCUCAAGGGUGCACCAUCGACCGAUCCUGAUGUCUUCGGAUGGAUUUGAGUAAGAGCAUAGCUGUUGGGACCCGAAAGAUGGUGAACUAUGCCUGAAUAGGGUGAAGCCAGAGGAAACUCUGGUGGAGGCUCGCAGCGGUUCUGACGUGCAAAUCGAUCGUCAAAUUUGGGUAUAGGGGCGAAAGACUAAUCGAACCAUCUAGUAGCUGGUUCCUGCCGAAGUUUCCCUCAGGAUAGCAGUAACGUUUUCAGUUUUAUGAGGUAAAGCGAAUGAUUAGGGAACUGGGGGGCGUAACGUCCUUCAUCCAUUCUCAAACUUUAAAUAUGUAAGAAGUCCUUGUUACUUUGUUGAACGUGGACAUUUGAAUGUACCGUUACUAGUGGGCCAUUUUUGGUAAGCAGAACUGGCGAUGCGGGAUGAACCGAACGCGAGGUUAAGGUGCCGGAAUGCACGCUCAUCAGACACCACAAAAGGUGUUGUUUCAUCCAGACAGCCGGACGGUGGCCAUGGAAGUCGGAAUCCGCUAAGGAGUGUGUAACAACUCACCGGCCGAAUGAAACAGCCCUGAAAAUGGAUGGCGCUCAAGCGUGCUACCCAUACCUCGCCGCCA